UACAGAGGGGGCAAGCGUUAUUCGGAUUUACUGGGCGUAAAGGGCGCGUAGGCGGCCACCGCAAGUCGACUGUGAAAUCUCCGGGCUUAACCCGGAAAGGUCAGCCGAUACUGCGGGGCUAGAGUGCAGAAGGGGCAACUGGAAUUCUCGGUGUAGCGGUGAAAUGCGUAGAUAUCGAGAGGAACACCUGCGGCGAAGGCGGGUUGCUGGGCUGACACUGACGCUGAGGCGCGAAAGCUAGGGGAGCGAACGGG
rnacentral:rRNA from 1 species